rnacentral:tRNA from 1 species
GGAGACAUAGUUCAAGUGGUAGAGCAUCAGUAUAGCAAGCUCAAGGUCCUGAGAGUUUGAAUCCCAGUACCUCCA